GGGGCCAGCGUUGAAUUCCACUGUGCUGUGCCCAGCGACCGGGGUACCCAGCUCCGUUGGUUCAAGGAAGGGGGUCAGCUGCCUCCAGGUCACAGCGUGCAGGAUGGGGUGCUCCGAAUCCAGAACUUGGACCAGAGCUGCCAAGGGACAUAUAUAUGCCAGGCCCAUGGACCUUGGGGGAAGGCCCAGGCCAGUGCCCAGCUGGUUGUCCAAGGUAGGAGGGUGGCUUCAGGCCUCUGCUAAGAGCAGGGAACAGAGAUGAGACAGGGAGAGAGGCACAGGGCCCAGACCCUGUUCCCUAGGAAUCCCCCUAAAUAUGUCAGAAUAAAGAGAAUUAUUCUAUUUUGCCUUGCUUGUGUCUAGCAUAGAGUAAAAGGGGCUUGAUAAAUAUUUCAAGGGAGGGAAGAAGGAUAUGGGUGGAGUGUGUGAGUGCUCAGAUGAACCGAUGAAGAUUGAAUCAGUGUGAACCGGGCAUGGUGGAACACACCUGUAGUCCCAGCUACUCAGGAGGCUAAGCUUGGAGCAUUGCUUGAGCGCAUGAGUUCUAGGCUGCAGUGAGCCGUGAUCACACCUGUGAAUACAGCCAAGACCCUUUGUCUAAAAAAAAAAAGAUGUGGACACGUGAGUGAGUAAAUGCAUAAGACCUGACAAGUGAGUGUGUUUGUGAGUGAAUGCAUGAAAAAGUGAAUGAGGAAUGAAUGAAUGCUGGAACUUCAGUGCUCACCUUUCUUUGGGCAGUCUAUGGCCUCCCUCAGGCCAGGCCGGCAGUGACUGAUCUCACUGGACCUCUGCCUCCCUCCUCCCCAGCCCUGCCCUCGGUGCUCAUCAACAUCCGGACCUCUGUGCAGACCGUGGUGGUUGGCCACGCCGUGGAGUUCGAAUGCCUGGCACUGGGUGACCCCAAGCCUCAGGUGACAUGGAGCAAAGUUGGAGGGCACCUGCGGCCAGGCAUUGUGCAGAGCGGAGGUGUCGUCAGGAUCGCCCACGUAGAGCUGGCUGAUGCGGGACAGUAUCGCUGUACUGCCACCAACGCAGCCGGCACCACACAAUCCCACGUCCUGCUGCUUGUGCAAGCCUUGCCCCAGAUCUCAAUGCCCCAAGAAGUCCGUGUGCCUGCUGGUUCUGCAGCUGUCUUCCCCUGCAUAGCCUCAGGCUACCCUACUCCUGACAUCAGCUGGAGCAAGCUGGAUGGCAGCCUGCCACCCGACAGCCGCCUGGAGAACAACAUGCUGAUGCUGCCCUCAGUCCGACCCCAGGACGCAGGCACCUACGUCUGCACCGCCACUAAUCGCCAGGGCAAGGUCAAAGCCUUUGCCCACCUGCAGGUGCCAGAGCGGGUGGUGCCCUACUUCACGCAGACCCCCUACUCCUUCCUACCGCUGCCCACCAUCAAGGAUGCCUAUAGGAAGUUCGAGAUCAAGAUCACCUUCCGGCCCGACUCAGCCGAUGGUGAGCAGGAGGGUUAAUUUGCAGGGUGGGCUGGCCUGGGUUGAGGGACCUCGUGGAGUAACUGCCAUCAUGGCUUGAGCCCUGGCUGCCCCUCAGUCCUGCCCCAAUCCCUCAGCCCUCCCUCUCCAGGAGCCCCCAGACCUCUGGGCCUC
rnacentral:sRNA from 1 species